ACUCUUGUUGCUUUGGCAGGCCGUGGCCUCCACUGUGGGCUCUGCCUGCAUGUGCCUGCCAGAGGACCAAACUCUGAAUUCUAGUGAUGUCUGAGUACUAUAUAAUAGUUAAAACUUUCAACAACGGAUCUCUUGGUUCUGGCAUCGAUGAAGAACGCAGCGAAAUGCGAUAAGUAAUGUGAAUUGCAGAAUUCAGUGAAUCAUCGAAUCUUUGAACGCACAUUGCGCCCUGUGGUAUUCCGCAGGGCAUGCCUGUUCGAGCGUCAUUAUAACCACUCAAGCCUGGCUUGGUAUUGGAGUUCGCGGUCUCGCGGCUUCUAAAAUCAGUGGCGGUGCCGGUUGGCUCUACGCGUAGUAAUUUCUCUCGCGAUUGAGUCCCUCCGGUUGCUUGCCAGAACCCCCAA
rnacentral:rRNA from 1 species